AGAGUUUGAUCAUGGCUCAGAUUGAACGCUGGCGGCAUGCCUUACACAUGCAAGUCGAACGCGAAAGGGGGCAACCCCGAGUAGAGUGGCGAACGGGUGAGCAAUACAUCGGAACAUUUCCUGUAGCGGGGGACAACCUCGAGAAAUCGAGGCUAAUACCGCAUACGAUCUACGGAUGAAAGUGGGGGACCGCAAGGCCCCACACUAUAGGAGUGGCCGAUGCCGGAUUAGCUAGUUGGUGGGGUAACGGCCUACCAAGGCGACGAUCCGUAGCUGGUCUGAGAGGACGACCAGCCACACUGGGACUGAGACACGGCCCAGACUCCUACGGGAGGCAGCAGUGGGGAAUUUUGGACAAUGGGCGAAAGCCUGAUCCAGCCAUGCCGCGUGAGUGAAGAAGGCCUUCGGGUUGUAAAGCUCUUUCGGCCGGGACGAAAUGGCGCGGGGUAAUAUCCCGCGUCGAUGACGGUACCGGAAGAAGAAGGACCGGCUAACUACGUGCCAGCAGCCGCGGUAAUAC
rnacentral:rRNA from 1 species